CAAUUUACAAGAAAAAUCACUUUAUCCAGAUUAAUGACUGCUGCGCUUGACUGUUAUCACAGCGGUUUUAGCUAAGGUUUCUUUUUUUUUCUGUUGGAGUGAGAAAGCAGAAAUCUCUUCUCAGAAAUUUCUUCUGUCUGAAAUUGCCAUUGUGGAGACACAUCAGUUUCGUUUCAGGUGGACUGGUGUGGCUCAGUGAAGAACAAGUGAAGGACGGGGCCCAAAAAAGUAAGAAAAACUGAAUUCAUUUAAUCAGCUAAAAAGAC
rnacentral:lncRNA from 12 species